AGACUUCCUGGUCACGGUAAUGUCUCUUCCAACGUGGAGCCAGGACGCUCCGCCUUUGGGGAACGCUGGUGCAGGGCUUGGGACUCAGGGCAGUGCGGUCGAGCCCCUACCCACUCCGGAGAACCCCCGGCCCCGCCAGCGCGGCCGGGCUGCUGGCUCCCCUGGCGUCCGGUCGAGGCGCACACCCGCCUCGGUCCGACUGUGACCCCGGUGAGCUUCGGACCAUUCUGCCCCGCGACCUCAGCCUGAGAAGACCCGGGGCCCUGCCAGCUCCCGGGACUAUAACUUCAGUUGAGUCGCUACUUCCGCGGAUCCUGAGCUGGGGGAAAGUCGAGGGGUCCGGAAGGCUCAGGAGGGAUCGUGGACUUCAGGGUUCCCAGGCUGCUGGCGUGGAGCACCAACACCUUACAUGGAGGGGUUUCUGCUGCCAGAGCAGGCAAGGCCCUCCCCUCCCUAGUUUCUCACUGACCCCUUCUGGGUGUCCUCACGCAACUACACCAGCCACUGGUCUCCGCACUUUCCAGAGGGCCUGUGGGCAACUACGAAGCCGAACACUGCCAACCCAUCCACCCAGCAUCCCUGCAGCAUGCACAGAAAGGUUCACCCAGCAUGGUGUGCAAUAGGAAACUAAGCUCCUAUCUCAGCCUAUUUCUGGAUUGAUGCACGCUGUGCAAAAUGCCGUGGCAGCAGGAAGAGGGCUGCACAUAAGCAAGGGGUUCUGGAAAUUAAGACGUCUAGAGGAGAAAGCGUGAGACAUCCCGUGAUGGCAAUGCCACCGCCACCCCCUUGCCUAACCAAACCGUCCUCUGCUCCGGGCAAGUGGCCAUCUGGGAGCAUUAGCCAGGGAGGCACUCAUUGUGUCUUGCCAUCACGUCCACAGAGGGGGCCCCACACCUUGUCAUACUCAUUUGACAAACUCUCCAGAACUGCUGGUGCCAGCCCCCACAGGUCACCUUACAGGGCAACUCCAGACUCCACAAUGUGAGUCUAAUAUGUGUUCCAAGAAUCAAACAGGAUGAGCACCAAGACAUAAAGCUUAGAAAUAGCAAGACUGCUUUUCAGAUGCACAUGCACGCUUGUUUUCCAAAGGAAUUAGAUUUAUUCUGCAUGAAAACGGAAAGUGUUCACUCCCCAAGCUGAGAGCUGAGGAGGUGGCACUGUGCUGAGUCCAGCCAGGGCUUGGGUCCUGCCCCAGUCUGACAGGCCUGCUGAGCCUGGGAGGGGCCCAAGAGAAAGCCCCUGCAAAGCCCCGAAACCUACAUGCUAGGUAGCCUGUGCUGGAGUCACUCAAAGGGGCCUGUGGCUGUCAGUCAUCCUUGCUUCCCCUUGGCGGCGGUGAGUUCUCCCUUUCCGAUGAUGAUGAUGACGAUGAAGUAUCUGCUGGCAAGCCCCUUGUAUCUAUCCGGCAGAACACGCAUUGGGUGAACAUUUCAGAAGAGGUGUCACUCUUGAAGAUGGAGAAAGGCCUGUCACAUCUUUCGCACUGACAUGGGAUAUUUUAAAAGAGCAGAAAGGAGGUGCUGGUCAGAGGUGAUCCAGGCAUGCCAUUAGAAUUCUCCCAGCUACCUUGAGCUGGGGCAAGGCAAGGGUUCCCCUCUCUGGAAUCUCUUUUUGGUUUGUUUGUUUGUUUUUGUUUUUGUUUUUGAGACAGAGUCUCACUUUGUUGCCCAGGCUGGAGUGCAGUGGCACCAUCUAGGCUUACUGCAACCUCCGCCUCCCAGGUUCAAGCAAUUCUCCUGCCUCAGCCACCCGAGUAGCUGGGAUUACAGGCGUGCACCACCACAUCCUGCUAAUUUUUGUAUUUUUAGUAGAGAUGGGGUUUCUCCAUGUUGGCCAGGCUGGUCUUGAACUCCUGGCCUCAAGUGAUCCACCCACCUUGGCAGCCCAGAGUGCUGGGAUUACAGGCGUGAGCCACUGGGCGCAGCCCCUCUCUGGAAUCUCUAACCCCACAAAGGCGGAAAUUGCAGAGAGAAUGAGCACAGGCUGCUUCCCCACCAAUGGCUAAGCAGGUCCUGCCAGCUCAUGUCUCCUGCCAGCUCAUGUCUCCUGCCAGCUCAUGUCUCCUGCCAUGGGGGUCCUGAGGACAUGCGUGGCAAGCCCCUUGACAGUUGGGAGGAUGGGGGUGAGUGUCCCGCCCCAUCCAUUGUUCUGUGCCGAGUAAAAUUGUGGGACUAAGAGGAUGACUCCCUGACAUCCUGAGAACACCCAACUUUUACAGAACCAUGAGACGCAAGUAGGCAAGAUUUCUGAACAAAGCAGGGGUGUGAAGCAGAUUGAUGCAGGUGCUAGGUGCCCUCCUGCGUCCCUGAGCCUGUUUCUGGCCAAAGCUCACAGAGUACACUGAAAACAAAUGGCACAGCUCACCCAUCACGUCUGCUUCCCACUAACAAGCAAGAGUGCCAUGGGAUGAGGUCUCCUAGGCCAUGGGCAGAGGCCCCUCAGGGGUUCCCACCAUGCAUGGUCCCCUGGAGAAGAGCCUGCAAGGUGGCCGCGCCCCUGCCCUGGCUCUCCCAGCCCCUGGGCUUUGCUGUUCUGCCCACUCCAGGACACUGAGGCCUGCUGGAGAGGGGGGUAAACCCUACCUGGGGCAGGCCUCGGGGAAGCCUGGCCUCAGGCUUCUCAUGUUGAUUGAUUCAGAGCAAGUCAAAUGCAGCAGGCUCAUCCUUGCUUCAGCUUCAGAAUUUAAGCUCCCCUGGGGCAAAAAUGUCAGUCUGUUUGUUCACGAUUGCAUCUCCAGGUGCCCAAAGUUCAUUCAAAUGAUAAAUUAAUUUAUAGAGGGAACUAACGAAAGCCUUCACUGGGCUUAAUUUUACCCAAUACCAACCUGUUUCAACUUUAAGCCCACGGCCUUUUUGUACUUGAUUACCAAAGGAAUUUCAUCAAUUUCUUCAAUAUUCCACAGUCUCAUGGUCCUAUCCUAAAACAAAUAGCAAACCAGCGGUCACAAAACAGGCUGUGGUACAUCCAUACAAAGGAAUGUCAUUCAACAAUCAAAAGACAUGGGCUGUCAAGGCACAAAAAGACAGAGGAACCUUCAAUGCACAUUGUUAUGCCAUAGAAGCCAACCUGAAGAGGCUACAGAGUAUAAUUCCAACCAUAUGACAUUCUGGAAAAGGCAAAACUGAAGAAUAUAAAUAGAUGAGUCAUUGCCCAGGAUUAUAGGGAAGAGGAGGAGGGAUGAAUAGUAAAACUAUUCUGUAUGGCCAGGCGCGGUGGCUCAUGCCUGUAAUCCGACCACUUUGAGAGGCCAAGGUGGGUGAGGUCAGGAGUUCAAGACCAGCCUGACCAAUAUGGUGAAACCCCGUCUCUACUAAAAAUACAAAAAUAGCUGGGCACAGUGGCGUGCACCUGUAGUCCCAGCUACUUGGGAGGCUGAGGCAGGAGAAUCACUUGAACCCAGGAGGCGGAGGUUGCAGUGAGCCAAGAUCGCACCACUGCACUCAAGCCUGUGCGACAGAGUGAGACUCUGUCUCAAAACAAACAAACAAACAAAACUAUAUGACACUGUAUUGGUGGAUAUAUGAUAUGCAUUUGGCAAAAAUAUACAGUAACACAAAGCAUGAAACUAUAAAACCAUGGACCUUAGUUAAUAAUAGUUCCUGAAAGGAAUGCAGUCCUGUUGAUACCUAGAUUUUAGCCCAGUGAGAGCUUAUCAGACUUCUAUCUUACAGUACUGUAAGAUAUUAAAUUUAUGUUGUUUAAUGUUUAAACAGUACAGUCUGGUAACUUAUUAUAGCAGCAAUAAAAAAAUGGAUACAUUGA